rnacentral:rRNA from 1 species
AUUGAACGCUGGCGGCAGGCUUAACACAUGCAAGUCGAGCGGGGUGAGGUGCUUCGGUACUGAUCCUAGCGGCGGACGGGUGAGUAAUGCUUAGGAAUCUGCCAUUUAGUGGGGACAACGUUCCGAAAGGAAUGCUAAUACCGCAUACGUCCUACGGGAGAAAGCAGGGGAUCUUCGGACCUUGCGCUAAAUGAUGAGCCUAAGUCGGAUUAGCUAGUUGGUGGGGUAAAGGCCUACCAAGGCGACGAUCUGUAGCGGGUCUGAGAGGAUGAUCCGCCACACUGGGACUGAGACACGGCCAGACUCCUACGGGAGGCAGCAGUGGGGAAUAUUGGACAAUGGGCGGAAGCCUGAUCCAGCCAUGCCGCGUGUGUGAAGAAGGCCUUUUGGUUGUAAAGCACUUUAAGCGAGGAGGAGGCUACCUGGAUUAAUACUCUGGGAUAGUGGACGUUACUCGCAGAAUAAGACACCGGCUAACUCUGUGCCA